CUAUAAUUUACAUCUAAUUUCAUAAUAUAUAAAAAAUUGAAUAUUAACCGUCAAGAACUUUCAGAACCCUCCUCUCUUACGGCUUAUAAAAAGGCCUUCAUUUCACUUAGAUUCUGCAAGCUGCUUGCUUUCGUUAUAGUGUUGCUCUUUGUGUUCAGUGUUUGAGAUCUGGGCUAUGACAUGAUUCUUUAGUUUUCACAGUGUCUAUGGUGAGAGUCACGCAGAUCUGUGUGUUUGCUUAACUAAGCUAAGCUAAGCUGCAGAUGGAGACGAAUAACUGAGGCCUUAACAAAUGUAGGUAAGAGAGCUUUCUUCAGUCCACUCAUAGGUGGCAAUAAGAUUCAAUUAGCUGCCGACUCAUUCAUCCAAAUGCUGAGUAAUACUCUGGGAGAUGCUCAUCAAAUGAGUGAAUGAUGCGGGAGACAAAUUGAUUCUUAAGUUUCCUGUACUUGGACUGAAGGGAGCUCCCUUUUCCUUUCUAUGUAAGAUCCAGCUCCUAUUUUUUCUUUCUGUCAUAUCUUCAACAUCUCUAAGAUUUAGGUGAUGAGCAUGUUGUCAUAAUUUUAUAAGCAAAUGCUUCCCGCUUCUUCUUAACUGACCAGUUUUUCCAUACAUUAAAAGUUUGACAUGCAAGGGUUUUGACAGUAUUUGCUUUUAAAGUGGUCUGUGCUUAUGGAUGCCAAGAAGUUUGUGGAUAACAGCUUUCCAAUUAGGGAUAGAUUUAAGGUUGCCGGAUUGAGGCUCUUUUCUGGUGAAAUGCAUGGCGAUAAGGGUUUUUGAUAGAAGGUUAAACUGCUUCUGUCCAACAAAAGCUAUUCAAGUUCCAAGUAGUAACUGGAGUCUACGCAUGAGAGACAUGUUAGCUCGAGCCCAUACUCAACCCAAGUACAACGUCCACCUCAUCUCGGGUCGCGCUCUUUCUCAGCAACAAGUUCCUAGACAUGGUGUCUGCCACCAGCCUGUUUAAUUACUAACGUGUCCUUGUACAUUUCUUCCUCAUUUUUUUAUGUUUUGAUUUAGUGAGUAACUUUAUAUUUAUCGGAGGAAAGUUAUUAACAAUUUUGUUAAUGACAUGAGUCUUACUCUUUGUGAU